rnacentral:ncRNA from 1 species
GGUUAAGUUAUGAAGGGCGCACGGUGGAUGCCUUGGCACUAGGAGCCGACGAAGGACGGGACUAACACCGAUAUGCUUUGGGGAGCUGUAAGUGAGCUUUGAUCCAGAGAUUUCCGAAUGGGGGAACCCAUUGUUCGUAAUGGAACAAUAUCCU